rnacentral:rRNA from 1 species
UACGUAGGGGGCAAGCGUUGUCCGGAUUUAUUGGGCGUAAAGAGCGUGUAGGCGGCCAUACAGGUCCGUUGUGAAAACUCGAGGCUCAACCUCGAGACGCCGAUGGAAACCGUAUGGCUAGAGUCCGGAAGAGGAGAGUGGAAUUCCUGGUGUAGCGGUGAAAUGCGCAGAUAUCAGGAAGAACACCGGUGGCGAAGGCGGCCCACUGGAUCGGUACUGACGCUGAGGUGCGAAAGCGUGGGGAGCAAACAGG